CCAAGGCAGUUCACUGAAGUGUUACCAAACCAUAAUGCAUUAUGUACUGUAUAUGAGACCAAUGUACACUUUGUAUUUUUUAAGCAACCAUGAGGGAAAAAACAGAAAGUUUAAGAUUUUAAUUACUUCUGGAGCUAAAAGCACUCUCUCUCCUGCACUCACCAGCUUCUAAAUCACACGCCUCAAGCAAGUGUGCCGGCUGAAAAUCCCCUGUGUUCCUUGGAUCAAUAAUAAAAUAAUGAAAUAGACCAUAUAAAACAUCAUUGGGCUUCGCCACCCUUUUCAUCACAUUUGAAAUUCAAUAAAGAUAAAUUGUUUUUGGAACUUCUACAUUAAUAUGCAAUCGAGCAAAUUAGGGAUAAGAAUACAAUUUUGGGUUAUUUGCUAUUGUCAAUGGCAAAUCUAGUAUAAAUAUUAUUCUCUGGCUCGGAACAGCCUUAAAUUAACUGAAGAAUGCAUUCUUAUGGGAGGCAUAACAUGAUGACUGGAAUGAGGGAAAAUCAUACAAUACCUUUUAUACGCAUUUCACAAUAGCACAAAAACAUUCAUCAUUAAAACGAGAUGGCAGAGUGUAACACAGACAGAUAAACAGAUGCUUUCUCCCUCGAAUAAGAAAAACAUCUGUGGCCUUGUUACCCUCUACUUUAAGUCAUUUUUAUGCCGGUCAAGUGCUGUAAGUGCUCCCACAUCUGCUACAGUUUAUAUAAGAUGCAGAUGCAUCAUCUGCUGAGGGUGAGCCCCCCGUGGCUCAGUUAAGUCCUCUCAUCAUUGAUUCAUGCUCUCGGGGAAGUCUGACAAAUCUCAAACCUUGCUUCCGUAAGAGGACCUUAUGGAUGUGUCCAUGUGGGGAAGAGAGGUGUCCCGGGCUCACACAGCAGAAGUUUGUGGAAGAUUAAGUCUGUGCAUGAGGGCUCAGUCUUGCAUAGUGAUUGUGUCUGUGUAAAGAGACAAGAUCACACACGUGUUAGAACUUGCAUUAUGCAGUACAUUCCUUGGGGGAUUUCUUUUAACUUCUGUGUUUUUUUUGUUUGGUUGGUUUUUUUUGUUGUUUUUUUUUUUCCAUUUGUGCAAACCAAACAACAGAACUGAUUCCUGCGAAAGACAAACUCAGACACAUGUCCCACAAUACAGCGAGCCAAGAAAAAAAAGGAAAGAAAAUUGGAGAAGGCAAUUUAAAAAAGAGGUUUUGCUAGCAGUGCUCUCAAUCCUUCCUUCCAAACUUCCUCCUCAUUUGUAAUGAAAACAACAUUUCAUAACAAACAAAUGCAUUGGAGUGUGUUUCUUGGCCAUCCUUGGCCCACGGAAGUAUUUGGGGAGAAGAUGGAGUAAAAAAUCUCUACAGGCGAAAAGCCUCCAUUUCAAGCUACUUCCCCGAGGUCUCCUGAGUACAAAUCCUGAGCUGUAUACCAAGGCAUUGUGAAGGAGCGAAAUAUGUCAGAAGCUGGCGUUCAGCUGGAGCUCAAUUCAGAUUGACAGCGAGGAAGCCGCAGCUGAGGUUAUAGAGGUUAUCGAGAGGGUUCAGUUCCUGUGGAGAUGCUAACUGUUGAUGCGUAGCUGCAGUGGCAGCGCAGAGACCGGAUGGAUGAUGCAAGCAAAGCAAACCUCGGCUCAAGUUCGCUGGGAUGAAAAAAAGAAGUCGGCAUUUAGUAUGACAACUUACUCUGGAGAAAAAGCUGCCUUCCUCUCCGGCAGCGCUGGAUAUUUUUUGAGGGCUUCGGGUCCUGAUAAACUACAUGACUCGAUAGAACCCAUCCAUUGCCUCACAUGGCCUCUUGCAUUCAGUUGCAAGUUGUACUUUAACACGGUGCAAGGACAAAAGCCGACAGCCAGCUGACAGC